CGCUGGCGGCAGGCCUAACACAUGCAAGUCGAACGGACCCUUCGGGGUUAGUGGCGGACGGGUGAGUAACACGUGGGAACGUGCCUUUAGGUUCGGAAUAGCUCCUGGAAACGGGUGGUAAUGCCGAAUGUGCCCUUCGGGGGAAAGAUUUAUCGCCUUUAGAGCGGCCCGCGUCUGAUUAGCUAGUUGGUGAGGUAAUGGCUCACCAAGGCGACGAUCAGUAGCUGGUCUGAGAGGAUGACCAGCCACAUUGGGACUGAGACACGGCCCAAACUCCUACGGGAGGCAGCAGUGGGGAAUCUUGCGCAAUGGGCGAAAGCCUGACGCAGCCAUGCCGCGUGAAUGAUGAAGGUCUUAGGAUUGUAAAAUUCUUUCACCGGGGACGAUAAUGACGGUACCCGGAGAAGAAGCCCCGGCUAACUUCGUGCCAGCAGCCGCGGUAAUACGAAGGGGGCGAGCGUUGCUCGGAAUUACUGGGCGUAAAGGGCGCGUAGGCGGACAUUUAAGUCAGGGGUGAAAUCCCAGAGCUCAACUCUGGAACUGCCUUUGAUACUGGGUGUCUUGAGUGUGAGAGAGGUAUGUGGAACUCCGAGUGUAGAGGUGAAAUUCGUAGAUAUUCGGAAGAACACCAGUGGCGAAGGCGACAUACUGGCUCAUUACUGACGCUGAGGCGCGAAAGCGUGGGGAGCAAACAGGAUUAGAUACCCUGGUAGUCCACGCCGUAAACGAUGAUUGCUAGUUGUCGGGCUG
rnacentral:rRNA from 1 species